AACGAACGCUGGCGGCAUGCCUAACACAUGCAAGUCGAACGAGACCUUCGGGUCUAGUGGCGCACGGGUGCGUAACGCGUGGGAACCUGCCCUUAGGUUGGGAAUAACUCCCCGAAAGGGGUGCUAAUAUCGGAUAAUUUCUUCGGACCAAAGAUUUAUCGCCGUUGGAUGGGCCCGCGUUGGAUUAGCUAGUUGGUAGGGUAAAAGCCUACCAAGGCGACGAUCCAUAGCUGGUCUGAGAGGAUGAUCAGCCACACUGGGACUGAGACACGGCCCAGACUCCUACGGGAGGCAGCAGUGGGGAAUAUUGGACAAUGGGCGAAAGCCUGAUCCAGCAAUGCCGGGUGAGUGAUGAAGGCCUUAGGGUUGUAAAGCUCUUUUACCCGGGAUGAUAAUGACGGUACCGGGAGAAUAAGCUCCGGCUAACUCCGUG
rnacentral:rRNA from 1 species